CGGGCUUCCGGCAGGGCUGAGAGUUGACUUGCCCCAGAUGGGCGAAGUGAGUCACUGGGGAGCCGUGUUCACACUUCCUCCUUCCCCUGGGCUUCGAUCCAGCUCCCUGGAGGGAGGCACAGCCCGGAUUCCUGGGGCAGCCGGCCUCCUCUGUCCAGGCUGGGGUGUCGCGGCCUGCACCCCGACUCGCACACGCCCGCUCUGAGGCCCUGGGAUCACACUUCAAGCAAAAGGAGAGAAGCUCUAGCAGUGACAUUUCAGCUGAGCUAGCUGUUGAGUGGGGUGCGAUGGGGGAGGCAGCCAGUAGCAGUGUCCAGGAGCCCCUGAAGUCAUCCCUCCUGGGAAAGCAGCCCCUGUUGGACACAUAGGCCAAUCCUAGCACACAGGAACACAAAGUGGUACAAAUGAAUUCAGCAGCACAGUUGAAAAAGAAAAACUACGGGAACAAUGGAUUGGCGAUGGUGGAAUUCUCUCGUCCUGCAGGAUUUGACAAAAUGAAACCAGUCCUAGACUACAUACAAAGCAUAUUUAUUCCAAGGACAGAUCAUGAGAUUGUUGUAAUUCAGGAUCUGUUUAUUUGAACAUGGCUCUCUGCACGUUUAAAGUCCACCUGUUUAAUACUGUUCGGGCUUUCUGGCUUAGCAAGCUGGAAAAUGUUUUGAGGCUAACAUAAAGAUGGGAGAGGAGUUUCCUGAAUUUCUGUUCAACUGUUUUUGCGAACCCAUGCCAUUGGUCCUAAGGGAGAGGUGAACAGCACAAAAUACCACCCACUCUAAAGAAAAUACAAACUGAAAAUAUUUUGUGCAAAAAAAAAAAAAAAAACAAAGGAUGUGCUUUUAGCUUAGUAUUUUUUUUUUCUUUUAGCUUAGUAUUAAGUGUAACAGUUAAAGGUGUGAAAUAAGAACAUGCUUUGUAAAUAAAAAAACAAAUUCUAGGAAUUAGAAUUAGGUGGAACACCUACAUCUGUACAAAGUGAAUUGUGCAAUCAUUUUCUAAAUUUCAACUGUCUGGUUCGUAAAGGCAUAACGUGUUGUCUGUGUUAUUAGGAUAAUCUGUCCUAAUUCCCAAUAAAAUGAAUGGCUUCAUAGUGCUUAAUCUUGGCCGUGAAGGCAAAAAAUGUAAUAGCAUUUCAAAAACAAUGAUUUUCGUUAAGAUCUCAAUGUCAAAAAAAAUGUACAAUAUUGUGCUUCAUAUUGAGAUGGGAGCAUGAAAAUUUAAAAUUCCACGCAGUGCUUUUGCUCCUACUGAAACGAAGACAAAAUUUGGGAUCUAACAGCCACUCCUCGGAUGUUUCUUUCAUCUGGAAGCCAUCAAAUCCUGAUCUGUUCCCUUGACAAUCCCAUAUAUUUUUUUUUAAAAACUUUUCAUCCUGUCAUUAUGAGCUUAACUCCCUAUCACUGAAACAAAUAACCAACCCCCUGUAAUUCCUACACAGUAAGGGGUGUCGGGCGUGAAACCCUACUGUGGCUGCAACACCCAAAGACUAGAGCCAGAGAAGGGUUGGCUCGGUUAGGAACUCCUGCUGCCGCGAAGAAAAACAAAACUUAAAACCACCACCACCACCACCACCACCACCAUUCAACAAAAAUACCUUGCACAAAAAAAAAAAAAAAAAAAAAAAA